rnacentral:rRNA from 1 species
UAAACGACUCUCGGCAACGGAUAUCUCGGCUCUUGCAUCGAUGAAGAACGUAGCGAAAUGCGAUACUUGGGGUGAAUU